rnacentral:rRNA from 1 species
UACUCCCGAGAGACCGAUAGUGAACCAGUACCGUGAGGGAAAGGUGAAAAGCACUUCGAACAGAAGAGUGAAAUAGUCCCUGAACCCAUACGCCUACAAGCUGUCGGAGCCGCUUCGUGCGGUGACGGCGUGCCUUUUGCAUAAUGAGCCUACGAGUUACUCAUCACCAGCGAGGUUAAGUACUUCAGGUACGUAAGCCGAAGCGAAAGCGAGUCUGAAUAGGGCGUCAAGUUGGUGGUGGUAGACGCGAAACCUUAGUGAUCUACCCAUGGGCAGGGUGAAGGUUUGGUAACACAAACUGGAGGCCCGAACCGGUAAACGUUGAAAAGUUUUCGGAUGACCUGUGGGUAGGGGUGAAAGGCCAAUCAAACUGGGAAAUAGCUCGUACUCUCCGAAAUGCAUUUAGGUGCAGCCUCUGUUGUUUUGUUCUAGAGGUAGAGCUACUGAUUGGAUGCGAGGGCUUCACCGCCUAUCAAAUCCGGCCAAACUCCGAAUGCUAGAACAUGAAGACAGGGAGUGAGCCAGCGGGUGCUAAGGUCCGUUGACGAAAGAGGGAGAACUCAGACCAUCAGCUAAGGUCCCCAAUUAUAUGCUAAGUUGGAAUUAAAACGGGGUGGGACUGCUUAGACAGCUAGGAUGUUGGCUUGGAAGCAGCCAUUCAUUUAAAGAGUGCGUAACAGCUCACUAGUCGAGCGGUCCUGCAUGGAUAAUACGCGGGCAUAAGCAUAUAACCGAAGCUAUGGGAUUGUAGAUGAUACAAUCGGUAGGAGAGCAUUCCAUUCAGCGUAGAAGCAGUAUCGUGAGGUAUUGUGGAGCGGAUGGAAAAGCAAAUGUAGGCAUAAGUAACGAUAAUGCGGGUGAGAACCCCGCACGCCGAAAGAUCAAGGAUUCCCCGGCAAUGUCAAUCAUCCGGGGGUAAGUCGGAUCCUAAGGGUAAGCCGAGUGGCGAUCCCGAUGGCAAACAGGUUAAUAUUCCUGUACUGAUCAUAACUGCGAUGCAGCGACGCAGAGGUGACACUGCUGCGUACUGACGGAAUAGUACGUUGAAACCCGUAUUCUUUGAUACCGGUAGUGAAGCACGCCGGUAGAGAUGAAAGGUGAUAGUACCGCAAUGCUUCGGUUGCGCGGAUAACGCAGGUAAGCUGACUGCCAAGAAAACCUGCUAAGCUUCAGGUAAUGAUCAUCCGUACUGUAAACGGACACACGUGAUCAGGUAGAAAAUACUAAGGCGCUCGAGAGAUUCAUGGUUAAGGAACUAGGCAAAAUGGUCCUGUAACUUCGGGAUAAAGGACGCUCUUGUGAAAGAGCCGCAGAUAAUAGGCCCAGGCGACUGUUUACCAAAAACACAUGGCUAUGCUAAUUCGCAAGAAGAUGUAUAUGGCCUGACACCUGCCCGGUGCCGGAAGGUUAAGAGGAGAGCUCAGAGGCAACUCGAAGGUUUGAAUUGAAGCCCCGGUAAACGGCGGCCGUAACUAUAACGGUCCUAAGGUAGCGAAAUUCCUUGUCGGGU